UGAUCACUUGCAACGAAGCAGACACAUUAUAACAUUAUCAAUAUAAUUCUGAAGCUCCUAUCACAAAAUGAAGAUAAUAAUUGCUUUCAUUUGUCAUUGCUGCAUUGUUGCACUCGACGCAAAACCUUUUGGUGGAUUGGGACUCGGAGGAAUGAGUCUUGGACCUGGGAUGGGUAUGGGUGUAGGUGGAAUGGGUGGAUACUCUAACGGCGGAGGAUACGGUGGACAACAAUACGGCGGUGGUGCAAGUGGAAUGGGAAACCAAGGUUAUGGAUCUUCAGGAGCUGGAGGUUAUAACAAUAUCGGAGCACACAACCACAGAGUGUUAUCUAUAAAUCAAGCAGACGAUUCAGGCUUCCACAAUGUUGGCGGCGGUUCAGCGAUGAAUAAUGGCGGUUAUUCCGGCGGCGGAUACAACGGAUAUGGGAAUGGUGGAUCAGCUUUUGGAAAUGGUUUUGGUAGCGGAAUGCAAGGAUUGAUGAUAUAAUAAUCAACUUUUACACUAGAGCUAAAAUAAAAUAAUUGUAUGAUAUAAAAUGACUACUACAAGUUGUUUCUAUAUGAAAUUUGGAAUAAAUAUAUUAUUUAUCAA